rnacentral:lncRNA from 1 species
CAUUAAUGUGCUCUAUAAAUAUUUGCUGUGCCUACUCUGUGGAUUUGGCCACAAAGACACAUGGAUCUGUCGUCUGCGAGCCACACGCCCCUAUCUGACAAUACAUUCUCCAGGGGUCGGUUCCAGGCGCCAUCAAAGGCAGGGGAAGCUCCCUGCAAUCUGGUGCCUGCCCCCAGUGACCAUCAGUCACCCUCUCCUUCACCUCCUGUGGUCUGCAGCAAGGGCUCUGUGACAGUUAUUAAAAAAU